rnacentral:rRNA from 1 species
GAUGAACGCUAGCGGCAGGCCUAACACAUGCAAGUCGAGGGAGAAGCCCUUUCGGGGGCAGAAACCGGCGCACGGGUGCGUAACGCGUAUGCAACCUACCUUUCACAGGGGGAUAGCCCGAAGAAAUUUGGAUUAAUACCCCAUAAUAUUGUUGGAUGGCAUCAUUUGAUAAUUAAAACUGCGGUGGUGAAAGAUGGGCAUGCGUCCUAUUAGCUAGUUGGAGUGGUAACGGCACCCCAAGGCUACGAUAGGUAGGGGUCCUGAGAGGGAGAUCCCCCACACUGGUACUGAGACAGGGACCAGACUCCUACGGGAGGCAGCAGUGAGGAAUAUUGGUCAAUGGUCGGAAGACUGAACCAGCCAUGCCGCGUGCAGGAAGAAUGCCUUAUGGGUUGUAAACUGCUUUUAUAUGGGAAGAAUAAAGGCGUAACGUGUACG